UACACGAGUGGCGCACGGGUGGCGUAACGCGUAUGCAACCUGCCCCCGACCGGGACAAAACAGCUGGAAACGGCUGCUAAUAUCCCAUGGUCAUGCGGAAGGGCAUCCUUCUUCAUGUAAAGAUUCAUUGGUCGGGGAUGGGCAUGCGUAUUAUUAGGUAGUUGGCGGGGUAACGGCCCACCAAGCCGACGAUGAUUAGGGGUCCUGAGAGGGUUAACCCCCCACACUGGAACUGAGACACGGUCCAGACUCCUACGGGAGGCAGCAGUAGGGAAUAUUGGGCAAUGGGAGCAAUCCUGACCCAGCCAUGCCGCCGUGAAGGAAGACGGCCCUAUGGGUUGUAAACUUCUUUUUGCCGCAGAAGUAAACCCGGUCACGAGUGGUCGGUUGAGAGUAUGCGGCGAAUAAGUAUCGGCUAACUCCGUGCCAGCCGCCGC
rnacentral:rRNA from 1 species